rnacentral:tRNA from 1 species
CAGAAAUUAGUUUAAAAAAUAUUGAUUUUGGAGAUCAAAGAUGAGUAUAUUUACUUAUUUCUGA